GUGGGGAAUCUUAGACAAUGGGCGCAAGCCUGAUCUAGCCAUGCCGCGUGAUCGAUGAAGGCCUUAGGGUUGUAAAGAUCUUUCGCUGGGGAAGAUAAUGACUGUACCCAGUAAAGAAGCCCCGGCUAACUCCGUGCCAGCAGCCGCGGUAAUACGGAGGGGGCUAGCGUUAUUCGGAAUUACUGGGCGUAAAGCGCACGUAGGCGGACUGUAAAGUUGGGGGUGAAAUCCCGGGGCUCAACCUCGGAACUGCCUUCAAAACUCCCAGUCUUGAGUUCGAGGGAGAUGAGGGGAAUUCCGAGUGUAGAGGUGAAAUUCGUAGAUAUUCGGAGGAACACCAGUGGCGAAGGCGGCUCACUGGCCCAAUACUGACGCUGAGGCGCGAAAGCGUGGGGAGCAAACAGGAUUAGAAACCCGAGUAGUCC
rnacentral:rRNA from 1 species